CGUCAUGGCAGUUGUGCGCGGAAGGCCGCAAAGCCUACCGGGUUUACUCGUAGCCUGGAUUCCACACCGCGUACAACUGCCACCCUU
rfam:Pseudomonas putida S11 PPS11_c87, whole genome shotgun sequence.